rnacentral:rRNA from 1 species
UACGGAGGGUGCAAGCGUUUUUCGGAAUCACUGGGCGUAAAGCGCGUGUAGGCGGUCCGCUAAGUCUGAUGUGAAAGCCCGGGGCUCACCCCCGGAAGUGCAUUGGAAACUGACGGACUCGAGUCCCGGAGAGGAGAGUGGAAUUCCUGGUGUAGCGGUGAAAUGCGCAGAUAUCAGGAAGAACACCCGUGGCUAAGGCGGCUCUCUAGUACGGUACUGACGCUGAGACGCGAAAGCGUGGGGAGCGAACAGG